ACGAAAGUUAUGAAGUAACCUUCGAAAUGACAGCAGACUUUGCCUCUGGCUCUGCUGAGUUCCCACACCUGGAACAAAUUGAAUGUCACAUGAAGCUUCUGUUGCAGGAUGUAGAUUGCACCCUGGCUGAGAUGAUAGCAGAGGGAAGUACCUCUUCUUGUUACACAUUAAUCUUAUUAUGCCUUCCCAUCUAGCAACCCCUAAAUCUGGGAGUGAACUUAAAUUGAGUUUCCAUCACUGUUUGCUGUCUCCUAAUUGGGAUUUUCUAGCAAUGACUAUUAAAGGAAACCAGGUCCGUUUGUAGCAAUAGAUCAUUAAAUUGGGCUUACUUGUACCCCAGCUAUUUGGAUGGUUUAGUAGCUUUCAGUGCAUACUAGAAACGUUCAUCAGAGAAAUUAUGAAACUAGCAGCCCACAGAAAUGAAAAAUGAUGCCCCUUUAUGAUGGGCCAUCUCUCUCAAAUAUAUUAGAUUUUUAAAUAGAAAAGAAUUAGAUAGAUUGCUAAUUAAAAGUAGAGUGCGUAUCGGAUGACUAAUUAGUGAUAAAGUACAAGCUAUCUUGAGAAUUGCUUUGCUCCUUACUUAUUGAAUGUAAAUUAUUUCAGGCUUUUAGUUACAUGCAUUUAAAUCAACUUUAACGUUGUAACUGUGUGUGUGUGGACUUGUCACAGGUGGAAAAAUUGUAAGAAGUUUCUCCUUUAAAUCAAUAUGGAUGAGGAGAACAUGGUCUGUGCUGUAGGGCCUUCAAGACUUUGUGGUAGCUCGUGAGGAGAGGCUUUAAUUACACACCCACAACCUGUCUUGAAAUAUUAACAGGUAGAACGAAUAUUGCUGGAGGAUGAAUUGCCGAUAGACCAGGCGUGGGGACAAGAGAGCUCACCCAGCAGCGGUCCCUGCGGCACCACUCGGAAGGCUGUUUGCAGGAAAAGGAUGAGUGGGACAUCUAGUGAUGAGACUGACGAAGAUGAAGGGAGAAGUCCAAGGAAGGCGAGGCGGCGGUCACGAGCAUGGGACACCUUGAAGACAGUUGAAGUGGUAGAAGAGACGUUGAUGCUGGAAGAUAGGAAGAACCCAGAAGCAGCCCAGGAAGAGAGCAGUGACAGUUUCAUACCCAUGUCUCUGUGGAUAGCGGAGAAAAGUGAAGCUUUGGAUGCUGCAGAUGCGCCGGCACCAGAGCCAUUUGUCUCGGAGACUGACCAAUGGGGGUUUAAAUCUGCCACCGAUGCUGCUGGUCCCCACCCCACCUCGUCAGCCGUCCCCGCGUGGAUGCAGCAGGAGGAGUCCAAAGAAAGCGAGGCAGCAGUCACCAGCUCAGAAGAACAUGAAGAUGCCUCAGUGGAGAAAGAGACAUUGCUGCUUUCUUCUUCCCUUCUUCCAGCAGAAGCAGCACAGGAAGGGAACACUCAAGGUUUGAUACCUGUGGCUGCGUGGAUCGUGGUAUUUGCCAUCUCUGUGUUUGUCAUCUUCGUGCCUGUAGUUAAUGGAUGGUAAUCCAACCAGUCUGCUCAUAAACCUCAUCCUGGGAAGAAAAUAAAAACAGUGUCCUCAUGAUAUAAGCCGUGUUG
rnacentral:lncRNA from 1 species